GUGCCAGCCGCCGCGGUAAUACGGAGGGUGCAAGCGUUAUCCGGAUUUACUGGGUUUAAAGGGAGCGUAGGUGGGUUGGUAAGUCAGUGGUGAAAUCUUCGAGCUUAACUCGGAAACUGCCAUUGAUACUAUCAAUCUUGAAUUAUCUGGAGGUAAGCGGAAUAUGUCAUGUAGCGGUGAAAUGCUUAGAUAUGACAUAGAACACCCAUUGCGAAGGCAGCUUACUACGGAUAUAUUGACACUGAGGCUCGAAAGCGUGGGGAUCAAACAGGAUUAGAAACCCCCGUAGUCC
rnacentral:rRNA from 1 species